rnacentral:rRNA from 1 species
GACGGUAGCAGUAGAAGAAACCCCGGGCUAACUCCGUGCCAGCAGCCGCGGUAAUACGGAGGGGGUUAGCGUUGUUGGGAAUUGCUGGGCGUAAAGCGUACGUAGGCGGAUUAAUAAGUGAGAGGUGAAAUCCCAGGGCUCAACCCUGGAACUGCCUUUAAAACUGUUAGUCUUGAGAUCGAGAGAGGUGAGUGGAAUUCCAAGUGUAGAGGUGAAAUUCGUAGAUAUUUGGAGGAACACCAGUGGCGAAGGCGGCUCACUGGCUCGAUACUGACGCUGAGGUACGAAAGUGUGGGGAGCAAACAGGAUUAGAUACCCUGGUAGUCCACACCGUAAACGAUGAGUGCCAGACGUCAGCAAGCAUGCUGGUGGGUGUCACACCUAACGGAUUAAGCAUUCCGCCUGGGGAGUACGGUCGCAAGAUUAAAACUCAAAGGAAUUGACGGGGGCCCGCACAAGCGGUGGAGCAUGUGGUUUAAUUCGACGC